rnacentral:rRNA from 1 species
UACGUGGGACCAAGCGUUGUUCGGAUUUACUGGGCGUAAAGGGCGCGUAGGCGGCAUGACAAGUCACUUGUGAAAUCUCCGGGCUUAACUCGGAACGGUCAAGUGAUACUGUCGCGCUAGAGUGCGGAAGGGGCAAUCAGAAUUCUUGGUGUAGCGGUGAAAUGCGUAGAUAUCAAGAGGAAUACCUGAGGUGAAGACGGGUUGCUAGGCCGACACUGACGCUGAAGCGCGAAAGCCGGGGGAGCAAACGGG